rnacentral:misc_RNA from 1 species
CAACCCUCAGGCGCCCUCCGGGGCGCCUGGUGUUGGGGACCGGCCGCCCGCGCCGCCCCCGAAAUGCAGUGGCGACCUCGCCGCAGCCUCCCCUGCGUAGUAGCACAACCUCGCACCGGAGCGCGGAGACGGUCACGCCGUAAAACGCCCAACUUCCUUUAG